UACGGGGGGGGCAAGCGUUGUUCGGAAUUACUGGGCGUAAAGGGCUCGUAGGCGGCCAACUAAGUCAGACGUGAAAUCCCUCGGCUUAACCGGGGAACUGCGUCUGAUACUGGAUGGCUUGAAUCCGGGAGAGGGAUGCGGAAUUCCAGGUGUAGCGGUGAAAUGCGUAGAUAUCCGGAGGAACACCGGUGGCGAAGGCGGCUUCCUGGACCGACACUGACGCUGAGGCGCGAAAGCCAGGGGAGCAAACGGG
rnacentral:rRNA from 1 species